rnacentral:rRNA from 1 species
CCCUUAGAUGUUCUGGGCCGCACGCGCGCUACACUGACGAAUGCAACGAGCUUAUAACCUUGGCCGAAAGGUCUGGGUAAUCUCCAAAUUUCGUCGUGAUGGGGAUAGAUUAUUGCAAUUAUUAAUCUUCAACGAGGAAUGCCUAGUAAGCGCAAGUCAUCAGCUUGCGUUGAUUACGUCCCUGCCCUUUGUACACACCGCCCGUCGCUACUACCGAUUGAAUGAUUUAGUGAGGACUUCGGACUGAGUCCAAUGCGGCUUUCGGGCUGCGUUGGUAUUUCGGAAAGAUGUCCAAACUGUAUCAUUUAGAGGAAGUAAAAGUCGUAACA